GUAGGGAGCAAGCGUUAUCCGGAUUUACUGGGUGUAAAGGGCGCGCAGGCGGGAAGACAAGUUGGGAGUGAAAUCCGGGGGCUCAACCCCCGAACUGCUUUCAAAACUGUUUUUCUUGAGUGAUGGAGAGGCAGGCGGAAUUCCCAGUGUAGCGGUGAAAUGCGUAGAUAUUGGGAGGAACACCAGUGGCGAAGGCGGCCUGCUGGACAUUAACUGACGCUGAGGCGCGAAAGCGUGGGGAGCAAACAGGAUUAGAUACCCUGGUAGUCCACGCCGUAAACGAUGGAUACUAGGUGUGGGAGGUAUUGACCCCCCUUCGUGCCGGCGUUAACACAAUAAGUAUCCCACCUGGGGAGUACGAUCGCAAGGUUG
rnacentral:rRNA from 1 species